UCCUGAGUAGCUCAGCUGGUUAGAGCAUCUGACUGUUAAUCAGAGGGUCGCUGGUUCGAGCCCAGCCUCAGGAGCCU
rnacentral:tRNA from 2 species